rnacentral:lncRNA from 10 species
CAGGGCUUCAGUCUCCCUGUGCACUGUGGGGAUCAGCAAGAUGGGUAUGAAGGCCCUUCCUGCACCAGCAGUCCAGGUUGAGAAAAUGCUUAUUGAAAGACACUCAGCACCCAGUUUGAGGAAGCAGGGAAUUAGGACAAUGAGUGCUGAGUGCUGCCUCUUUGGUUCCGGGCAAGAUGGGAGUGGUAGAGAGGUAAUUGCACGUGUUUGAUGGUGCUACCCAGCAGAGAUGCCCACUGAUGCCACUGAAAUUCUCAACAAGGAGUGUGGUGAGUUCUCUGCCUCACUGUGGGGUUCUGACUUCUCACUCAAAAGCAAGAAUUGAAUGCUCAACUCUAGGCAUGGCCUAGGAAGGCCACAAGGAGCUCUGAGUAAUAGGCCAGCUUAAGAUCCCUUUACCAACUGGUGAGAGCUGGAAGACCUGCCUCAACAGGGGGCUCAAUUGGACCCAGGUGCUGCUGACAAUCUUGUCUUGGCUGCUAAAAAUCAACUGAGAAGACACAGAUACAGCUGAAAUCCCAGGGCUACAUAAAAACAAAAGCAGAAAACAGUAUUAGGGACUAAUCAUCCUGUAGGGUUUCUCAGUGAGUUCCAUUGCUAUUUGUGUCCAAAAAGCAUUACUGAAUGAAAAUGUCACGUCUGAGCACUGAGUUUUGCAUCCAGUGGUGAAUGCGUACCCAAACUACAGGGGAAAAUUUUUAAUUCCCAUAAAAAUAUGCAAAGUUACUAAUUAAAAAUCUUCCCCAUCCACAUUAAGAUCACCAAGUGAGUAAAUCUCACAAGCUGAUGAUUGUACCCAGUUCAGAUUUUAUUAAUAAAAUCUAAUUUGUUUUCCCAGUUUUAUGGAUUAGAUUCCCUCGUUAUGUUAUUUAUUCCUACCACCUUUUCUUCUUGAAUCACAAAAUAAAUGUCAAUUUCAGAAGUUAGAUGGUGAAUAUUCAUCUCUCUCCCUAGAAUAUUGUGGGUGGGAGGCUUUUUU